CCUACGGGUGGCAGCAGUGAGGAAUAUUGGUCAAUGGACGAGAGUCUGAACCAGCCAAGUAGCGUGAAGGAUGACUGCCCUAUGGGUUGUAAACUUCUCUUAUAUGGGAAUAAAAUGUUCCACGUGUGGGAUUUUGUAUGUACCAUAUGAAUAAGGAUCGGCUAACUCCGUGCCAGCAGCCGCGGUAAUACGGAGAAUCCGAGCGUUAUCCGGAUUUAUUGGGUUUAAAGGGAGCGUAGGUGGAUUGUUAAGUCAGUUGUGAAAGUUUGCGGCUCAACCGUAAAAUUGCAGUUGAAACUGGCAGUCUUGAGUACAGUAGAGGUGGGCGGAAUUCGUGGUGUAGCGGUGAAAUGCUUAGAUAUCACGAAGAACUCCGAUUGCGAAGGCAGUUCACUGGACUGCAACUGACACUGAGGCUCGAAAGUGUGGGUAUCAAACAGGAUUAGAUACCCCUGUAGUC
rnacentral:rRNA from 1 species